rnacentral:rRNA from 1 species
AUUGAACGCUGGCGGCACGCCUAACACAUGCAAGUCGAGCGGCAGCGAGACUAGUAGCAAUACUAGUUGUCGGCGAGCGGCGGACGGGUGAGUAACACGUAGGAAUCUGCCCUUAAGCGGGGGAUAACCAAGGGAAACUUUGGCUAAUACCGCAUAAUCUCGAGAGAGCAAAGCUGCCCGCAAGGGUGGCACUUGAGGAGGAGCCUGCGUCCGAUUAGCUAGUUGGUGGGGUAAUGGCCUACCAAGGCGAGGAUCGGUAACUGGUCUGAGAGGACGGCCAGUCACACUGGGACUGAGACACGGCCCAGACUCCUACGGGAGGCAGCAGUGGGGAAUAUUGGACAAUGGGGGCAACCCUGAUCCAGCGAUGCCGCGUGAGUGAAGAAGGCCUUCGGGUCGUAAAGCUCUUUAGGUUGGGAAGAAGUGUAUUGGCUGAAUAAUCCAGUACAUUGACGGUACCGACAGAAUAAGCACCGGCAAACUCUGUGCCAGCAGCCGCCGUAAAAC